GCUUCCCUGGCUCAGUUGGUUAGAGCGCCAGUCUCAUAGCAAUGUGAGGGAUUGAGUGAUCCUGUAAUCUGGAGGUCAUGAGUUCGACCCUCAUGGGGAGCA